rnacentral:misc_RNA from 1 species
UUUUUAUUGUUCUGCAGGAGGAAAAGAGAACGAAAAAUAAUAAAACAAAGGAAACAAAAAAUAGAUCGUCCUACUACCAGUCUCUUUCUCUCUUCCAUGAUAAAAUUGUCUACAAAAAAUAUUAACAAUUGUUGAUACCCUGCAUACAGUAGGCCCUAAACGUCAACUUCAGAAUUAGUAUGUGCCUUUUCUUGAUGUUUACAAUAGCUUAGCUUCACAAUUUCAGGCACUGCAAUGGCCUCGCUGCCUGUGAAUCUGGCUCUUGAUACAGUAUGGCAGGUAAUACACAUGUUGCUGGAGUUACUUAUGGGAUGAAUGGUGAGCCUCAGAAGGCUUUCCCCCAUUGCUAAUGGCACCAUUAGUCUUCACCCUGCGAUAGAAUAGGACAUAUGCAGAAGCUGUCUUUAUUUCAUCUUCAGUUAUGGAUGAUAUGUGGCUGUCAUCAAAGUUGUACCACCUGUUCUCAUCCAGAAGCUUUAUAUGAGCAGUAUAGUGCCCACUUCCCAUGCCACCAUAAUGGUUGGUUAAGGCAUAAAGUUCAUAGAGCUGACGU